GACGAACGCUGGCGGCGUGCUUAACACAUGCAAGUCGAACGGAAAGGCCCUGCUUUUGUGGGGUGCUCGAGUGGCGAACGGGUGAGUAACACGUGAGUAACCUGCCCUUGACUUUGGGAUAACUUCAGGAAACUGGGGCUAAUACCGGAUAGGAGCUCCUGCUGCAUGGUGGGGGUUGGAAAGUUUCGGCGGUUGGGGAUGGACUCGCGGCUUAUCAGCUUGUUGGUGGGGUAGUGGCUUACCAAGGCUUUGACGGGUAGCCGGCCUGAGGGGGUGACCGGCCACAUUGGGACUGAGAUACGGCCCAGACUCCUACGGGAGGCAGCAGUGGGGAAUAUUGCACAAUGGGCGGAAGCCUGAUGCAGCGACGCCGCGUGCGGGAUGACGGCCUUCGGGUUGUAAACCGCUUUCGCCUGUGACGAAGCGUGAGUGACGGUAAUGGGUAAAGAAGCACCGGCUAACUACGUG
rnacentral:rRNA from 1 species